CAGUCGCCGCGGGAAUACGGAGGGUGCAAGCGUUAUCCGGAUUUAUUGGGUUUAAAGGGUCCGUAGGCGGACUUAUAAGUAAGUGGUGAAAGCCUGUCGCUUAACGAUAGAACUGCCAUUGAUACUGUAAGUCUUGAGUAUAUUUGAGGUAGCUGGAAUAAGUAGUGUAGCGGUGAAAUGCAUAGAUAUUACUUAGAACACCAAUUGCGAAGGCAGGUUACCAAGAUAUAACUGACGCUGAGGGACGAAAGCGUGGGUAGCGAACAGGAUUAGAUACCCCUGUAGUCCCUGUCUCUUAUAC
rnacentral:rRNA from 1 species